ACAACACACAAAAAAAUAUUAUGGUAAUGACAAAAGUAACUUACUUUCGAAUUAAUAAGUGGUUAAAAUUUGCUACAUUAAAAGUUUUUUUCUUGUUUUGAAAAUGAAAACUUUUACUGCUACAGUUUUUGAAAAUCUCAUUGCUAACUUAUUUAAAAGUUUUAACUUUUAAUGAACUGUAUAAUUUCUUUCAUUUUGUCGAUCUCGUGAAACCGUGUACGUCUAAGUCCAAAAUGUAAACAAACGUUUAGGUGAUUCCGGUGGUUAGUGAGUGGUGGUCCACGACGUCAAUCAAAACAGAACGCGUCCGCAGCCAGGACUUGGACGCGGAUACCUUCGAAGGAGGAUGGUGCGGAACAAGGUUAGGGGAUUAGGGGAAAGUUGGUUUUCAAAAGGAUGAGGCCUGCUUCCUGCCGGAUCUGCAGCUGUUUCACGACCGAAAUGGGACGCCGUUUAUGCGGAUGUGAAUUUGCACCGGUUGUAUUCGAUAAAGUUAAUUUUAACGGUGAGGAGAAGGAUUCGACGGAAGAGGGAAACGAUUAGAAGUGAUCGGAGGUGGUCAGCGCGGAUGUUGCUCUCUGUGCCGGCGGUUUACGACCAUCAGCAGCAUUAUGUGCCGGAAGUGAUGACGGGACAGUGUGGGAUGUCCUGAGGGUCCACAGUCCAUUUCUCGGUGCGGGACAUAUUUGACGAGUAUUACAUAAACAUCCGGAAGAACAGUUUGCACCAGUUCUGGAAGAACCGUCUGUACGAAAGCCGCAGGUCCUGAAGCUGUCGUACUCGGAUUACUUCCAGAGGUUGGAGCGACAUCCGACGAACCUGAUCAAGAACAUCUACCUGGAAUACCGAAGAAGUCACCGCAACUCCCGCCCGCAAACUCUCAACUCGCGACGGCGCAGCUUCGGCCGGAUGAACUGGAAACAUCUGUGCCAUUCGGGAACUAUCGGUUCAGGCGCUUCACUUCCCAGUCGGAAAACGUCGAAUUACCUUCCCGAAUUAACACCCAAUGGCUAACUCCUCCAAGCCUGUCCUGAUCAGUGCUGAAAAUGUCAGGGGUCAUGACGCGAAAAUCGGCAACGCUGACACGAAUUUUUGAGAUCCAUUCACUGAACCGCAAAACCGUGACAUAAACAAACCCGGCGCAGUCGUGAGUGCCCUAGCUCAUUGAGCAGCUGCAAUGCGAGGCAGUAGUCGACCAACGCUCAUUCGACGUUGCACGCACACACAUAAAGAAACAAGUUUUUACACAAAAAGUUCGUAUUUAUGCGUGGAAAUGUAAUUUUGAAUAUAAGUUACGGUUGUUUUAAGUGUUUUACACUGUUUACAACCAUUCAAUUGUUUGAAAAUAGUCAACUAGUGUUUAAAGAGGAUUUUACGAGUCAGUCAUAUGACACGAAUUGAGUGAGUGUAGCUCAUUUUUUCAUGUCUCUCAUUCUCCAGCAGCCGACCGGCACGAGUCGGGCGGCAGUGGUUGAACAGACACAGUAGGCUUGCAGUCACAUGCUUGCAGUGAACUGACAUUUUGGUUUGCUUCAUAUGUACGCUGGGUUGGAAACUUUUUGCAGGCCUGGUCCUGAUGAUGGCCGGCAACGAGACCACCCUGUUCUCUACAUCGCUUUCGCGCUCCAAAAUGUAGGCCGCGAUGUUAAGGAGCAUAAGCAGCAGUUUUAAUAUUAAAAUAAAAAUAGAAAUAAAAUCCAUCACAUUUUUCAAAAAAUCAUCACUGUAAUUUUAAAUGUUAUUUAUUGUUGCCAUAAAAAGUUUCUUCUUAUAAUAAAAGUAAAAAACUUUUACCGAUACAACGAUUUUGUUCCAGAAGUGCAUGGUAGUAUCAAAAACUUUCCAACUUUUAAAUUAAAAAGUUUGAACUUUCUACGAAUAUUCACCAACGCGAACUUUUAAUCCAACGAACGAUCUUUUUAAAUUUAGAGUAUUUUUUCUUUGUGUGAAGGAU